UUACCUCCCCUGGACGGCUCUCUGGCGGCGGAAAGCAGGAAACGUGUGACGGUUGAAAACAGCAGAAGAACAUCUCAACAAAUGUUAAACCUGCCGUGCAUUUUGGCGGAUCUGAAGAGGAAUAGUUACAGUUACGGUUCAUAUGCUAUCUCCAAACCGGCAUAUAGGUUCAGGUGUUUCUGAGAUGCAGUGAUUAGCUCUGAAAUACUUUGUCAUCUACUGUGACUCCAUCGCUCACGACACAAACUAAACAAAGCUUCAGGUCAAGUUUGGCAAUGAGUGGUGUUUCAACCACUCAGCUUUCUUCAGAUGAAUCUGAAGCCACAAAUGAUCGGCGUCUUUGGAUUGGCAAUCUGGAUCUACGGAUAUCUGAAUUUGUCCUGCUGAAGCUGGUACAAAAAUAUGGGGAACUGGAGCGGUUUGAUUUUGUUUACCACAUUCAUGGCCCAGACAAAGGCAAGCCGCGCGGCUACUGCUUUGUGACCUAUGCAACCAGACAGAUAGCAGAAAAAGCCAUGAAGAGUCUCAAUGGGAAACUGGCAUUGUCGCGUCGCCUUGCAGUUCAUUGGGCUAAAAAUGAAGUACCACUGGAACCAAAAGCCCCUCUCACGACUCUGUCAGCAUUGUCUGAGCCCAGGCCAGAACCCACGCAAGAAAGCACUGUCAAUACCAUCCGAGCAAUUGAAGCCAAGCUGAGGGCGAUGCAACAGACUCAGAAAGAUUUUACACUGAACACAGUGCCUACAGCACCACCUGGCUCCAGUCGCUACAGCAGUGUCAACGCCGUCAAGAAGCCAGUUUCAAGUGGGAGGGGCAGACACCGGCCCUAUCAGCCUUCAAAUCACCACCCUCGGCGACGGUGAUGGAAUCAGCAGCAGACUUUGUAGGAAGUUUCCAGAAUAUUUCUGUGUCAACAAACAGAUAAGUCUGAGAACACAGGGAGCUUGCAGAAUUUGGAAUAUUGUUCAGAUGGAAUAUGAUAGACUGAAAGUGCAGGUGACUGACAAAGUGCUGAAGGGAAGUGCUCUGAUGAUGACAUAUCUGUAGGCAAUGCCAGCCAAAAUAUCUGCAAGUUACUAAACCUAAAAUUGUGCAAUUUCAAAACAUAAGACAUUGUUUAUGUUACAACAAAGCCAUGUUAGUAGACUGACAGGCUUUGAGCUAGAUGAAGUCAUAAACAGAUGAAAACUACCUUUGGAAUUGUUGUUUGAGAUGCACAUACACAAUCAUGAUAUUGAAGAUUUCCAGCUUUCAGAUUUCUUGCCAAAAACUGUGGACAGUCAUCCAUUGAUAUUUAUAUUUCACUCGUGGAUACUGAUAUUUCAUUGAACAGCCUUUUUCAUGCCUUCAUAUCUGCUUGUCCUUAUUCUUUAGUUCUCCUCUAUACACACAGCAUAUCAUUACACAUCAGUACACACACUCAUUCUUCUUGUUCCUAUUCACCCCCAGUGGAGCAUAGGGCCACAACACACACUCAUAGCGAUGAUUUUCUCCCCAAAAACUUGCAAGAGCAGCAUCAUCUCUGCAGGUUUCUGUUCCUAAUGAGAUCAUAAAGCGUAUUCAAUGUGAUUAUAUGGGCAUGCUUACAAAAUCAAUUACUUUCUUUCAUUUACUGCAGUGAAGGCAUAGACAUGGAUCCAUGCUUUGUAAAGUUUUAGCUACGCAGCUACAAACCAUGCAUAGGCACUUGGUGGAGCAGCAAAGUUGUGGGGGAGAGGUACUCCAAGCAAAGCGACCAGCAGAGUGACGGAGGACAUGGAGUGGGACUGUUGUAUCAGAUGGAAACUGCUCAAUGAAGUAGCCGGGAGGGAGUUCAGCGUGAGAUGUCAAACAUCUUGGAAGAAGUGCAAUUAAGACAAGAGACACAAAGGUUGCUGAGGUCAUGUCUACCAAUGAGCAUCCCGGCCAUUGCAACAACGACGACUAUAGAACAGCGUCUGGCGAUGACGACGACGUCAUGUUAGGCAACAACGGCGACGAGAACAGCAUAAUCUUUGUUUGCACCAUGUUGCCCCAAGCGUACACAACGGACUGAAGGGACGCCGGUCACCAGCUGUUGUCAUUUCAAAUAAACGCAAAGAACCGCAAAUAAACAGCGAGAGAGAGAAGUAGCACUACAAAUAUUGUACAACCGCUGGUCCACACUCUCAUUCUUUCGCAAUUUCUACCUGUCAUUCUGCUGUCUGCGGAAACAGAAUCUUUCUGCGAAUUACUUUGUGCAACUUGAGGUCUAGUGUUGUUUGUGGGUACAGUUGAUAUUGGUGUCAGGUGUCAGGUGUUGUGUGACACCACUCAGACAGUUGCACCUCUGGGUGGUGUUUCUCACCAAACGUUUGUUUGUUGCAGACUCCACUCAUUUCUACAUAGUGGUGCCCGCUUCGCACUUGACAACAACCUCGACAAAAAAAAUACGACCCUGUAAAUAUAAAAUAUCUGUUUUUGUUGAUACGACCUUGUAAUAUGAAAUACAUGUGUUGGUAGUCUGACACAACUCUUA